rnacentral:rRNA from 1 species
UAUGACUCUCGACAAUGGAUAUCUUGGCUCUUGCAUCGAUGAAGAGCGCAGCGAAAUGCGAUACGUGGUGUGAAUUGCAGAAUCCCGUGAACCAUCGAGUUUUUGAACGCAAGUUGCGCCCGAGGCCAAUUGGCUAAGGGCACGUCCGCCUGGGCGUCAAGCAUU